rnacentral:misc_RNA from 1 species
UUUCCGUAGGUGAACCUGCGGAAGGAUCAUUAUUGAAUAAACCUGAUGUGGUUGUAGCCGGCCCUUUCGGGAGCAUGUGCACACCCGUCGUCUUUAUCUUUCCACCUGUGCACCUUUUGUAGACCUGGAUGUAACACUUUCCGAGGCAACUCGGUCGGGAGGAAUGCUGUCAGCUUUCCUUGAAUGUCCAGGCCUAUGUUCUCAUAUACCCCAAAGAAUGUAACAGAAUGUAUUAUUGGGCCUUGUGCCUAUAAACUAUAUACAACUUUCAGCAACGGAUCUCUUGGCUCUC